rnacentral:lncRNA from 1 species
AGAUUUUGUGGUUUCCAGUCAGGACGUCAGAGAAAGACAACCUUCUUCCCAACAAGGCACUGUUGGGGGUCAAAGCCAGGAAUCCCAAUUAAGAGAUCAACAGCAGCAGCAAAGUCUUCAGCAGUCACAGGAGCAGCAACCACAACCGCAGUUGCAGCAGACAAAGCAGCCACAGAGGCCAGUCAAAGGACAGCCACUACCACAGCAGCAACAGCAACAAAAUCAGCGGCCACGGCCUAGAUACCAGCAACCAAGAAGAGCUGUGUGAUCUUCUCAAGAAAGUAAAUGGGAAGAUAAUGAGCUAAGAAGACAAAGUUCUUAGAAGAUUAUGAGUUAUAUCUUUGUCUUUAUCCUACCAAUAAAAUGUUGAGCAUGC